GACGAACGCUGGCGGCGUGCCUAAUACAUGCAAGUCGAGCGAGUCUGAAUUCAAAGAUUCCUUCGGGAUGAUUUGUUGGACGCUAGCGGCGGAUGGGGUGAGUAACACGUGGGCAAUCUGCCCUAAAGACUGGGAUACCACUUGGAAACAGGUGCUAAUACCGGAUAACAACAUGAAUCGCAUGAUUCAAGUUUGAAAGGCGGCGUAAGCUGUCGCUUUAGGAUGAGCCCGCGGCGCAUUAGCUAGUUGGUGGGUAAAGCUACCAGGCAAUGAUGCGUAGCCGAGUUGAGAGACUGGAUCGGGCCACA
rnacentral:rRNA from 1 species